GGUGAGAGGACACACCCAGGCUGAGCUGGCUCCAGGGGCCCAGCUUCAGAGGCCAUGACCAGGGCCACUGCGCUGCUCCUGGGCACCGAGGCCAGCACUGGGCAGGCUCA